CGUUAUGGGCGGGCCGUAUGUGGGCAUCUUCGGAUGCGCCGGAUCCACUAGCCGGUACGCCAACCCAUACGGUUCCGCCCACCCUG
rnacentral:antisense_RNA from 1 species